AAAAAGAAUUCAUAUAAAUAGUUUAAAUGAAAUUGAAAAAUGUUCUCAGUGUACAAUGCUCGUAGCCAAACCGGAUUUCAAAAAAAGUUUAAAUGAAGCUUCUUUCGUCUUCCUUAUGUAAUUAAAAUAUUGUUUUAUUUAUCUUUUUACACUGUAUGUGCUGAGUGACUUGCCAUUGAAAUUUCGGGGAAAACAUAUAAAAGCAACUUUGACGUGGAAACAAAACAACAAAAAUAUUUGAAUAAGCUAAGCGUAAUAGCUUCUUGUGUUAAUGCUUAUGUCAUUUACUUUGGGAUGCUUGUCAAAGGUUGACAUGCCGUUCGUACUGAAAACCAGAUAGGAGAGUGCAUGUUGGACCUUGGAGUACAUUCAAAAUAUUGUCAUCAUGUACAACAACAAUUCAUAUGAUUCAAGCUUCUACAUAAAAUUGGUCACAACGCAUACAAAACAGUUUGCAGCAGUACUUUACGGUUAAAAUUACUUGUAGUAAUGAUGUAAGAAUGUAUCGUAUAAAUAAUAAUUGUAUACAAUAUCCACUCUAAUUUAAACUUUUUAAUUAGUGAGGAUAUUAUUUGAUUAGCUGUCUAUGGCUAUGUACCAUAAAGUUAUUACGGAAAGCUUCAAGUGGGCGACAGAUAAUUAUGGUUAAUGUUAAAUCGAGCAAAAACUCGCAUGAUUUUUGAAGUUUGUGUCAUGCUACAAAUUUUCGCCAUGUACGCCGAGAUGCUUUUCCAAAAGUUCAAUUUUGAAAUUUUUAGAACAUUUUAAAUUGAAAACCAAAAAAAUUGGCAAAUUAGCUUUUAAAAUAUAAAAAAUAUUAAUAAAUUUGAAAAAAGUUCUGUGGCACUACUUCGUAAAUUGUGUACAGAAAUAGUGUAAUUAAUAUCAAAAGGAUUUUGCAGUAGUUUUUAAGUUAUGCAGUACACCGACUUUGAACACAUGAUUUAUGGCAAAAACGCUUAAAAUUUUUAAAUAGAAAUAAAUCUUAUAUAAAACGUUCAUAAACAGGUUUUAAGAAUAUUUAUAAUGAAACUAAAUCAGUAUUUGAUUUUAAGCACUAAUCUACAACUCCAUGCAAAAAUGCCAUUUUAGAGUUUUACUUCCAGUUUUAAUAGGUUACAGCUAGCGUUUCAAAUUUAAGCGCUAUGGAUUAAUUGGGAGUAUAUGCCUUAAAAUAAAAAUGAAUUGGUUCAAUCAUAAAUGGCUCGGUAAUCAGGUUACAUUAGCGGCUAAAGUUGUUAUCAGGUUAUCAGAUGUAUUUUAAAUUAUUCGCUACUGUUGUUGAUGAAAAUGAAAACGUGAAUUAUCUAAAUACUUAUGUAUAACCACAAUUUUCGAUGGAAAAUUGUUCAACUGUUAUUAUUCAGCGUAAGUUCAAUCCACCUCAAUUAUACAAGGGUACACGUUGGUCAAAAAGAUUACGGGAAAUAUUAUUGUAGCAACAUUUUGACUGGACAAUUUAAUGGAGAAAUGACCCUCUGGCCACGUUAGAAUGUACGUUACGAACAGAGCUUGAAAAUGUUUAUAAUUAAGAACUAUAAGUAUUUUUCUUAAAAAAUAAUAUUGAUCAACCCAAAGUGUAUUUAACAAAGUGAAAUAAGUAUACUUACGACAUUUACUUUACGCUUAUUUGAUAUACAUAUCAAUCAUUGUGAUUGAUUUGUCAAAAAAUUCAAAUUUUUAAACUCAAAAGUAUAGAAAUCUCAAUAAAAAUUAUAUUUUUUUAAAUAAA